CUAAGUUCUCAGCUGCCAGAAACAGGAGAUUCAACACGGAUUUACUUCAGGGCCUUUGCCAGAGAUCUGCGGGAUUCAAUCUGCCCUCUAACAUAAAACGGCCUCACCCCAGCUUCCAUCUAAGACAUGGUCUGUGCCAAAGGUUAAUUAUCAGGCUACCUACAGAAACUUUAUAGAUUAUAUGCUAGAAAUGAAGAUGGAUGUGGGCCUUGACCAGACAUGAGGCAGUGGACAGAAGGAACUGGCGUUUGACCACACUCUCCGUUACCGCGGGCUACAUUUCUCUACAGGCAGAAGAGAGAGCAUCACAUGGCUGGCUCAUACAAGCCUCUGCUAGAGAUGCACUGUGACCAAGGCCCGUGGCCAGCCCUGGGAGAAAGCCUCAUCCUUCCAACCCUUUGAGGGAUCACUCUAGCAGGACUUUAAAAACAACUGAA